CAGCCACAAAUCUCUCCUGGUGUGCACAAGAGUGCCAGACAAAGGAGGAGGCUCAGCUAACCGUCAAUCAAGUCACCAUUACCUGAAGAGAAAUGCAAUCACAGCUGAACAAUAGGCUGGAUAUGAAGCAAAAGCUUGAAAUGUGAACGAGGAGGAAAAUCUAUCUUGUCAGCACAUCGGCAAAACCGAAUAAAAGUGGCCAGAGAGUGACAGGUGAGGAAACUGAGAUUUAGUCAUGAAGCCAUGUGUCCAGCGCCAUGAAGUGAACAAGGGGCAGAACAGGUCUAUAUCCAGGCAGGUGUACUGCAGAUCUGCGUCUCAGGCACAGGGGCAAGAGUAGCAUCCACUCAAGAAAUUCAAGGAGUCUGAUUGGAGCCUGGGAUUGGAGAGGAGGCAAACCCACAGGCUUGGCAGUUGGGCAACUGAGUGGCCAAGUCCGCAGAGAGUAAAGGUGUAGCAGCGUGGGUUUGGCUGUCCUGGCCUGCGGUGGAGUUGGAAAGCAACACUCUUCCUGGGGAGUCUGA